UCUGUUCCUUGUGUGCCAGCCGCCGCGGUAAAACGUAGGUCACAAGCGUUGUCCGGAAUUACUGGGUGUAAAGGGAGCGCAGGCGGGAGAACAAGUUGGAAGUGAAAUCCAUGGGCUCAACCCAUGAACUGCUUUCAAAACUGUUUUUCUUGAGUAGUGCAGAGGUAGGCGGAAUUCCCGGUGUAGCGGUGGAAUGCGUAGAUAUCGGGAGGAACACCAGUGGCGAAGGCGGCCUACUGGGCACCAACUGACGCUGAGGCUCGAAAGUGUGGGUAGCAAACAGG
rnacentral:rRNA from 1 species